rnacentral:rRNA from 1 species
GUAGGUGGCAAGCGUUGUCCGGAAUUAUUGGGCGUAAAGCGCGCGCAGGCGGUCCUUUAAGUCUGAUGUGAAAGCCCACGGCUCAACCGUGGAGGGUCAUUGGAAACUGGGGGACUUGAGUACAGAAGAGGAAAGCGGAAUUCCAAGUGUAGCGGUGAAAUGCGUAGAGAUUUGGAGGAACACCAGUGGCGAAGGCGGCUUUCUGGUCUGUAACUGACGCUGAGGCGCGAAAGCGUGGGGAGCAAACAGGAUUAGAUACCCUGGUAGCCCACGCCGUAAACGAUGAGUGCUAAGUGUUAGGGGGUUUCCCGCCCCCCUUAGUGCUGCAGCUAACGCAUUAAGCACUCCGCCUGGGGAGUACGGCCCGCAAGGCUG